rnacentral:lncRNA from 1 species
CCCCCCCUAAAAAAAAGUGUUAAUUUUCCCCCGGUUUUUUGCUUUUGUGCAAUAUACUAAGCUGUUGAAUAUUUGCUCCAAAAAAAUAUUUAAAGAACUUUUCUUUUAAUUUCGGAAAUCUGAAAUGAGAAAAAUGUCCCCUUUUCAUUUUUUUUAUCUUCCUUUCCCUUAUUUCAAAAAUAAAAUCAUUCCCUCAAGAUAUGAUCAGUUCCUCAAUUC